GGAAGCUGGUUAAAAACAAAGUAACAUCUGCGUGACAUGCUCUGUGUAACUGGACCUUGGUGGUGGGAGAGAACCGUACACGUUUCUCCCUGUGCACUAACCUGAAGUGCACUCUGGGAAAGGGAACAGUUUCACCAUUAUAAAGGCCCCCCCGCUGGCUCAGAACAGAGGAAACGACAAGCUACGGCUGCUGCUGAGGUCACGGCCAAAUUCCUCUUUUGCUGCUUUUCUGUUCCCAUCAGCAGGUGUUAUGGAUCCACAACACAUCCUGUGCUGGAGACUCGCCCCAUUGUUUCUCUUUAUGCCCUGUGGGUUCCACUGUGUCUCAGUGCACAUUAUCAACGAAGAACCUGUGCACGUAAUCCCAGGGUCCAAUCUGGUUCUGAAAGCCCAAAUCAAGCAGGAACCCCAGGAAGAGGUAUCCAUGGUAACCUGGGAGCGGGAGCCUGAAACUGGAGCAGCUCCUGUGCGAGUGACCCUGGCGACGUGCCCUGGCAGAGGCCUUGGGUGUGCUGGUUCGAGACCAAACGUCCACGCAGACGCAGAGCAGCAGGAGACCACACUUCAGAUUAAUAAGUACAGCAGAGAGGACGGCGGCGUGUACGGGGUGACUGUGACUGAUCGCACAGGGGCCUCAACCACAGCACACUGCAUUGUCAGGGAGUACGAGGCGGUUCAUCAUGUUUCUUUGAGCAUCAACAUGUCUCACUCGUCGCUGGUUUGCGGCGAGGCCUGGGGGACGGACCCCAGCUUCAGUUGGCUCUACGAGAGGGCUGCCAUCACUCGGGCCGUGGGGGAAAUCUCCAAAGAUGGGAGCACUUUGGUUUUGAACAUGGCUCCAAUUUGUGGAGACUUCACGUGUGUGGUCAGCAACAAGCUCGGCUACAGCUCUGCCUCCUACUCAGCAGGACCUUGUGAAAAGGAGGGUCGGGGGAUGAUGGCGGCCGUGGUGUGUCUCGUCUUCCUGCUGCUACUGUUUGGAGGAGCCGUGGCGUUUUUAUUGUGGAGGAGAUACCGGAACAAUCAUCGAGGAGAGAGGCUGCAGGAACAUUUGGAUGACACCAUUUAGAAGAGCCUCCGUGAUGUUUCCAUUAGGGCUACCAGAGAGAUGUGGCCUGAAAGCACUGUGACCUCACUCUGCCUGGAGAUAAUGUGAAGAGUGAGCUGCUUUCUUUCGUUCUCAUGAAUAUCCAAAUGUGGGUAUUUGGGUUAAAGUGCCAGGUGACGGGCUCACAGUGCCCCCUACUGGGAUGGACCUGAUAGUGUGGACUUUAAUGGAGCGUGAGAGCAUUUUUUCUAUAAGGCUUUAAAUCUGCUGCAUCACACAUGUUAGUCUUCAUACGGGCGCACACUGCAGUGCAUACUGAGUUUCAAAGAGCAGGAAAAUGACGUUGUAUAAAUGGACCAAUCACUGAGGCCCGUGGGUCUAUAUUUAUAGUGGACCCUAAGCAUCUCUAAGCAUUUCUAUCAGCACCAUUAAAAUGCACUUUAGUGUAAAUCAUAUUCACU
rnacentral:lncRNA from 1 species